rnacentral:rRNA from 1 species
GUCCAAGGCCAUACCAUGCUGAAUGCACCCAAUCUCACCUGAUCUUGGAAGCUAAGGAGGGUUGGGCCUGGUUAGUACUUGGAUGGGAGAUAGUGCCAAGUUUUACC